UACGUAGGGUGCAAGCGUUGUCCGGAAUUAUUGGGCGUAAAGAGCUCGUAGGCGGUUCGUCACGUCGGCUGUGAAAUCCCGAGGCUCAACCUCGGGUCUGCAGUCGAUACGGGCGGACUUGAGUACUGCAGGGGAGACUGGAAUUCCUGGUGUAGAGGUGAAAUGCGCAGAUAUCAGGAGGAACACCGGUGGCGAAGGCGGGUAUCUGGGCAGUAACUGACGCUGAGGAGCGAAAGCGUGGGGAGCGAACAGG
rnacentral:rRNA from 1 species